GGCUACGGUGGUCUAGUGGUUAGAGCGUUCGCCUCGGAUGCGGGAGGUCGUUGGUUAGACCCCGUCGAGUCA